rnacentral:rRNA from 1 species
GAUGAACGCUAGCGGCAGGCUUAAUACAUGCAAGUCGUGGGGCAGCAUGAGUGUAGCAAUACAUUUGAUGGCGACCGGCAAACGGGUGCGGAACACGUACACAACCUUCCUAUAAGUGGGGAAUAGCCCCGAGAAAUUUGGAUUAAUACCCCGUAACAUAACGAUGUGGCAUCACAUUGUUAUUAUAGCUUCGGCGCUUAUUGUUGGGUGUGCGGCUGAUUGGAUAGUUCGCGGGGUAACGGCCCACCAAGUCUACGAUCAGUAGCUGAUGUGCGAGCAUGAUCAGCCACACGGGCACUGAGACACGGGCCCGACUCCUACGGGAGGCUGCAGUAAGGAAUAUUGGUCAAUGGACGCAAGUCUGAACCAGCCAUGCCGCGUGAAGGAUUAAGGUCCUCUGGAUUGUAAACUUCUUUUAUCUGGGACGAAAAAAGGCUUUUCUAAGUCACUUGACGGUACCAGAUGAAUAAGCACCGGCUAACUCCGUGCCAGCCGCCGCGGUAACAC